GCAUUGGUGGUUCAGUGGUAGAACACUCAUCUUCCGUACCGGAGACCUUGGUUCUAUUCCCAGCCGGGGCA
rnacentral:tRNA from 1 species